GCGGCGUGCUUAACACAUGCAAGUCGAACGGUGAAGGUGGAGCUUGCUCUGCUGGAUCAGUGGCGAACGGGUGAGUAACACGUGAGCAAUCUGCCCCGAACUCUGGGAUAACCACGGGAAACCGUGGCUAAUACUGGAUAUGUCGUGCGACCGCAUGGUCUGUACGUGGAAAGAAUUUCGGUUCGGGAUGAGCUCGCGGCCUAUCAGCUUGUUGGUGAGGUAAUGGCUCACCAAGGCGACGACGGGUAGCCGGCCUGAGAGGGUGACCGGCCACACUGGGACUGAGACACGGCCCAGACUCCUACGGGAGGCAGCAGUGGGGAAUAUUGCACAAUGGGCGCAAGCCUGAUGCAGCAACGCCGCGUGAGGGAUGACGGCCUUCGGGUUGUAAACCUCUUUUAGCAGGGAAGAAGCGAAAGUGACGGUACCUGCAGAAAAAGCACCGGCUAACUACGUGCCAGCAGCCGCGGUAAUACGUAGGGUGCAAGCGUUGUCCGGAAUUAUUGGGCGUAAAGAGCUCGUAGGCGGUCUGUCGCGUCUGCUGUGAAAACUGGAGGCUCAACCUCCAGCCUGCAGUGGGUACGGGCAGACUAGAGUGCGGUAGGGGAGAAUGGAACUCCUGGUGUAGCGGUGGAAUGCGCAGAUAUCAGGAAGAACACCGAUGGCGAAGGCAGUUCUCUGGGCCGUAACUGACGCUGAGGAGCGAAAGCGUGGGGAGCGAACAGGAUUAGAUACCCUGGUAGUCCACGCCGUAAACGUUGGGCGCUAGAUGUGGGGA
rnacentral:rRNA from 1 species